CAGGAGAGGGGGCCCACACCCUGUGCUUGGCCCGUCUCCCCCGGCCAAUGGCCACUGGUCUGUGGGCCUCGGUUUCUCGUCUGUGAAGUGGGCCACGGAAGGCUCUCAGAGGCCCCUCAGCCAGGGAUUACACCCUAUUGUUACCCAGGCUCGGGGCUGAGAUGGGGGUUGCUGCCCACGGGAGGGAGGGGCGCGAUGGUCCUGGGAAGCCAGUCAGGAGGUGCCGCAGGAGCACAGGUGGGCUGUGGAGGGGGAGGGAGUGGCCCCCAGGCCCCCCUGAGGCUGGCCCAGUCCCUGCCCCAGCCGUGACUGGCCAUGGCCCGCUGUGGCCGUCCAUCCCUGUGCCAGGCCCCCUCCUCCAAACGUGCUAAGAACAAAUGCACCCUCAUGCCCUUGGGGACACCCCACUG
rnacentral:lncRNA from 1 species